AACGCUGAGAGUGACCAACCUUUUCAGUUCACGCCUUCCCAUGAGGGAUUGCCCCACAGACCUUUGUGGCAUAAAUCAUAUUUCAACACUGUAAUCAGUAAAACUUUCAUACAUACCACAAACUUUCACACACACAUUCCUAGGCAUACACAGAAUAAAGAGAAACAUUUGUCUCAGAGACUUACAAGCAAAUAAAUAUAAACACACAGGACUAAUUCAAUAAAGGAGAGGAGGAAACUAUUAUACAAUAACAAAAAAGGCAAUGCUCAAGAGACUCAAAUACCACCAAAGAGAGCACCUAAAUGAGGUUGAAUUGUGUGUGUUUGUCGCUCAGUCCUGUCCAGCUCUAUGCGACCCCAUGGACUGGAAUCCAUCAGGUUCCUCUGUCCAUGGGAUUUCCCAGGAAAAAGGAGCCAAAGGAACACAGAAGAAGGGGUAACAAAUUCAGCUUGGAGGACACGGUUAAGUCAUCCUUGAGAAGGGGCUCUGUCUGCAGUUUCCUGGAGCUGAGGAUAUGACAGUGGGGAAGCUGGCAGAUCUCUUCCCUUCCAUCUAGUACAGCAUCCAAUUGAAGGAAGAUCUCUAGUAGAAGCAGAAUCCUGAAGUCACAUGGUCCUUGCAGACACAGUUUCUGAGUUUGCUUCUCAUGGGCUGUGGAACCUGAAGAACGUCAUUUGGGAGAUAAACCAUGGGG
ensembl:lncRNA